UACAGAGGGGCCAGGCGUUAUUCGGAAUUAUUGGGCGUAAAGGGCGCGUAGGCGGCCAUGCGUGUCUUCCGUGAAAUCCCUCGGCUUAACUGAGGACGUGCGGAAGAAACUGCAAGGCUCGAGUCCGGGAGAGGGGGGUGGAAUUCCCAGUGUAGCGGUGAAAUGCGUAGAUAUUGGGAGGAACACCGGUGGCGAAGGCGGCCCCCUGGACCGGUACUGACGGCUGAGGCGCGAAAGCGGUGGGUAGCAAACGGG
rnacentral:rRNA from 1 species